GGACUACAAGGGUUUCUAAUCCUGUUUGCUCCCCACGCUAUCGCGCCUGAGCGUCGGUAAUGGGCCAGUGAGCCGCCUUCGCCACUGGUGUUCUUCCGAAUAUCUACGAAUUUCACCUCUACACUCGGAAUUCCACUCACCUCUCCCAUACCCAAGUCCCACAGUCUCAAAGGCAAUUCCAGGGUUGAGCCCUGGGCUUUCACCCCUGACUUGAAGGACCGCCUGCGCGCGCUUUACGCCCAGUAAAUCCGAACAACGCUAGCCCCCUUCGUAUUACCGCGGCUGCUGGCCAC
rnacentral:rRNA from 1 species